rnacentral:rRNA from 1 species
CCUACGGGUGGCAGCAGUGAGGAAUAUUGGUCAAUGGGCGUAAGCCUGAACCAGCCAAGUCGCGUGAGGGAUGAAGGUUCUAUGGAUCGUAAACCUCUUUUAUAAGGGCAUAAAGUGUGGGACGUGUCCUGUUUUGUAUGUACCUUAUGAAUAAGGAUCGGCUAACUCCGUGCCAGCAGCCGCGGUAAUACGGAGGAUCCGAGCGUUAUCCGGAUUUAUUGGGUUUAAAGGGUGCGUAGGCGGCCUUUUAAGUCAGCGGUGAAAGUCUGUGGCGCAACCAUAGAAUUGCCGUUGAAACUGGGAGGCUUGAGUAGGUUUGAGGCAGGCGGAAUGCGUGGUGUAGCGGUGAAAGGCUUAGAUAGCACGCAGAACCCCGAUUGCGAAGGCAGCCUGCCAAGCCAUGACUGACGCUGAUGCACGAAAGCGUGGGGAUCAAACAGGAUUAGAUACCCGUGUAGUC